GCGGGGCCCGCCCCCCGCCCGACCGGUCCCGCCGCCCACGGCCCUCCGGGUUGCGUCAGGUUCGGCUCGCCGGGAGCCGCCUCCCUCCUCCGCCGGGAGCCACGCCGGGGGACCGCGGGGCGCGGGGCCGAGCUGGGCCAGGGGCGGCUCCGUGCUGGCGCGUCCCCGGCCGCCGGCCACCUCGGUUCAGCCGGCCACUCGAGGUGCCCCGGGGAAGGCGGAGCAGGCCACCCUCCGAAGAACGCAGGCUCCGUCGGUCUCUCCCCACCUCCAGCCCUGCUUGGACCUAGGACUUAAGCUGCCCUGCGCGUGUGCCGCGGAGGAUGGGCUGUGACCGUGCCCAGAUGACUGUGCCCCCGGCGGCAGGUGCCAGCCAAGGUACUGACCCCAGACCCCCACCCCCUUGACCUCCCUGUCACCUUCCCCAUCCCUCACGUCCAGCCGGAUGCCUAGACCAUCACUGUGGCCACCGCACAGGAACUUCUACCCUCCCCGGCUCUGAGCUAACCACGAGAUGGCGGUCGGCGGCCCCACUCCAGACAGGACCCCCGCCUGCAGCCCCCACCGUGUCUCCAUUCACGCCUCCACAGCAGGUGCAUCCAGCCCACUCUCCCCCAUCACUGGGUGACUGUCCCACCUGCCCGUCUCCGCCAACUCCCCCACGUGGCGUUUUCGUCCUGAUGCUCAGCUGAGAGUCCAUCCGGAGAGGCUUCCAACAACCCAGCCACACCACCACCCCUGGGGUGCGUACUCAGCCAGGCUGCCUGUGGUCUCAGCCAGGCCUCCUCACUGCAUCAGCCUGGCCGCCCCCACGCCCGUGUUCAGCCCACGGCUGGUGACCCUCAGCGCCCAACCGUGUCUUCUAGAGGCCCCGCCCC